CCGCGCUAAGCGGGGAGCUGGCGAUGCCCUGUACCUGCGAUCGCCUAGCAGGGCCUAGAUCCCCGCCCGAGGCGAACCGUGUUCGGUGGAAACCGGUAAGGGAGCGUUGAUAGCCUGGUCCCGGGCAAUGGGAUCCCGUGAAUCGUGUCAGGGCCGGGAGGCAGCAGCACUAAGCGGGUAACCCCAUGUGCCAUCGGGGUGGCCGGGCAGGAGCCGACUGCCGGGAGUUCGCCGGGUUCGGUCCCGUCGACGGCGGGGUGCGCGG
rnacentral:SRP_RNA from 2 species